GACGAACGCUGGCGGCGUGCCUAAUACAUGCAAGUAGAACGCUGAAGGAGGAGCUUGCUCUUCUGGAUGAGUUGCGAACGGGUGAGUAACGCGUAGGUAACCUGCCUGGUAGCGGGGGAUAACUAUUGGAAACGAUAGCUAAUACCGCAUAAGAGUAGAUGUUGCAUGACAUUUACUUAAAAGGUGCAAUUGCAUCACUACCAGAUGGACCUGCGUUGUAUUAGCUAGUUGGUGGGGUAACGGCUUACCAAGGCGACGAUACAUAGCCGACCUGAGAGGGUGAUCGGCCACACUGGGACUGAGACACGGCCCAGACUCCUACGGGAGGCAGCAGUAGGGAAUCUUCGGCAAUGGACGGAAGUCUGACCGAGCAACGCCGCGUGAGUGAAGAAGGUUUUCGGAUCGUAAAGCUCUGUUGUAAGAGAAGAACGAGUGUGAGAGUGGAAAGUUCACACUGUGACGGUAUCUUACCAGAAAGGGACGGCUAACUACGUG
rnacentral:rRNA from 1 species